rnacentral:rRNA from 1 species
GACGAACGCUGGUGGCGUGCUUAACACAUGCAAGUCGAACGGAAAGGCCCUGCUUUUGUGGGGUGCUCGAGUGGCGAACGGGUGAGUAACACGUGAGUAACCUGCCCUUGACUUUGGGAUAACUUCAGGAAACUGGGGCUAAUACCGGAUAGGAGCUCCUGCUGCAUGGUGGGGGUUGGAAAGUUUCGGCGGUUGGGGAUGGACUCGCGGCUUAUCAGCUUGUUGGUGGGGUAGUGGCUUACCAAGGCUUUGACGGGUAGCCGGCCUGAGAGGGUGACCGGCCACAUUGGGACUGAGAUACGGCCCAGACUCCUACGGGAGGCAGCAGUGGGGAAUAUUGCAUAAUGGGCGGAAGCCUGAUGCAGCAACGCCGCGUGCGGGAUGACGGCCUUCGGGUUGUAAACCGCUUUCGCCUGUGACGAAGCGUGAGUGACGGUAAUGGGUAAAGAAGCACCGGCUAACUACGUG